AUUCAUCCGGUAUUUCACGUUUCUCAAUUGAAGCCAUUCACCGCCGACUAUACUCCGGUGUUCAACCAGUUGCCAGCCCCACCAAACCUCACCAUUGGCGAUCUGGUACCCGAGGCGAUUCUGGAGCGUCGCUUGGUCAAGCAAGGUAACACAGCGGUGCCUCAGGUACUUGUGCAUUGGCGUACGUUGUCUCCGGCGAGUUCCACUUGGGAAAAUUUUAAUGUCCUCCAGCAACGUUUUCCGACGAUGGACCUCGAAGCAGGGGCUCCGUUUCAAGGAGGGGCGAAUGUCAUGCCCUCCACUCCAGUCACGCCCCAGGCUGAAGCAGAGGCGGACAGAGAGGCACAAGUGCAGCAACAGGAACUUGGAGGAGAAGAAGAACUGGACCCAUAG
rnacentral:rRNA from 1 species